AAUAAAAAAAGGAACAGUGCCAUGAAGUGAUGUUCCCUUAUUAUAUUAUUAUAAACUUACUUUUCAUCAUUUAUUUUGAAGUAAAUAACUACAAUUUUUGUAUACAGGCACAUCAACCUCUGAAUGUUCUGCAUGAUUUGGCUGGGAGAAAUAUGCCAGAUAGAGUAAUUGGACUGGUCACUCUGUUCACCCACAAGUUGUCUCAACGUCAGAUCGGAAUCAGUUCUGGCCUUAUGACCAUCACGAAGGACACUAUCCUAACGAUCAUCGGUACCCACCUCACCUACGUUUUCAUUGUGAUCCAGUUUAAACCGGAAUCAAGUGGUGGAUGUCGACUGGGUGGAAACACUACGGCAAUAUAGUUGAACCGACUAAUACUUGACUUUGAACCUUUCGUUAUUCAGUGGGAUAGUUAUUUCGUGUCACAUUGGCUGUUUUUUAGCUAAUUGUGAAUAAAGCAAGUUAUACAUUGAUAAUACAUGUGUAGACCAUACAACCCGUCCAGUUGGAAAAUUAACAGUUAAAAAUAAAAGGACUGCUACGAUUAAAACCAGUUGGAAUUAUAAAUACUUUGAAUGUAACGGGACCUACGUACCUUCUCAGGACAGACAUUCUUUUGUUAUAGCCACUAACCAUCUCAAUUAUGUAUUCAGUCAUCUAAAUUAAUACAUUUUACUUACUUUUUACAAUAUAUAUACUUAGCAAAAAUUAUCAAUUGAUUCAAUAUAUUUUUAAACCUCAGUAAGUAAAUGUGUACUGAGUUUAAAAGGAUCCUUCAUGCAUGCUGUGGUUCUUUCAUUAUAAGG